rnacentral:rRNA from 1 species
UACGAAGGGGACUAGCGGUGCUCGGAAUUACUGGGCGUAAAGCGCACGUAGGCGGACUUUUAAGUCGGGGCUGAAAUCCUGGAGCUCAACUCCAGAACUGCCUUCGAAACUGAAAGCCUUGAGUUCGGGAGAGGUGAGUGGAACUGCGAGUGUAGAGGUGAAAUUCGUAGAUAUUCGCAAGAACACCAGUGGCGAAGGCGGCUCACUGGCCCGAUACUGACGCUGAGGUGCGAAAGCGUGGGGAGCAAACAGG